rnacentral:rRNA from 1 species
UGAAUCUCAGUUCAGCUUUAAAGAUACCAAAAAUACAAAUAAAUCUCACUGUAUCUUUAAAAGUUAGUCUAAAAAGGUACAGCUUUUUAGAAACGGAUACAACCUUUACUAGAGAGUAAAAUCUAACAACACCAUAGUAGGCUUAAAAGCAGCCAUCAAUUAAGAAAGCGUUAAAGCUCAACAAUAUAAACAACAUUAAUUCCAACAAUAAUAUAACCAACUCCUAGACCCAGUACUGGACUAUUCUAUUACUAAAUAGAAGUAACAAUGUUAAUAUGAGUAACAAGAAAAAUUUUCUCCUUGCACAAGUUUAAGUCAGUAUCUGAUAAUACCCUGACUGUUAACAGUAAAUAAAAAUAACCCAACAAUAAAUAAUUUAUUAAUUGUACUGUUAACCCAACACAGGAGUGCAUACAGGAAAGAUUAAAAGAAGUAAAAGGAACUCGGCAAACACAAACCCCGCCUGUUUACCAAAAACAUCACCUCCAGCAUCUCUAGUAUUGGAGGCACUGCCUGCCCAGUGACUAACCGUUAAACGGCCGCGGUAUCCUGACCGUGCAAAGGUAGCAUAAUCAUUUGUUCUCUAAAUAAGGACUUGUAUGAACGGCCACACGAGGGUUUUACUGUCUCUUACUUCCAAUCAGUGAAAUUGACCUCCCCGUGAAGAGGCGGGGAUAAACCAACAAGACGAGAAGACCCUAUGGAGCUUUAACUAAUUAACCCAAGGAAAAUAAAUCUAACCACCAAGGGAUAACUACACUCUUUAUGGGUUAACAGUUUCGGUUGGGGUGACCUCGGAGAAUAAAAAAUCCUCCGAGCGAUUUUAAAGACUAGACCUACAAGUCAAAUCAAACCAUCGCUUAUUGAUCCAAAAACUUGAUCAACGGAACAAGUUACCCUAGGGAUAACAGCGCAAUCCUAUUCAAGAGUCCAUAUCGACAAUAGGGUUUACGACCUCGAUGUUGGAUCAGGACACCCCGAUGGUGCAACAGCUAUCAAAGGUUCGUUUGUUCAACGAUUAAAG